GGUGAGCCCGAGAGGCGGCUGGGGGUGCUGAGGCCCAGCCUCCCCUCAGCGGCGCCGCUCUGUGAGGCCGCUUCUUUCUUAAAAAGCCGUUUUCUCGGGCGUUUUUACCCCCUCGGCCUCCCAGCUGCCUUUUGAAAUAUCACGUUCUUGCUUUUCCUUCAGGUUUAGCGUGAGAGGGGGGCGAGUAGGGGGAGCAGCGGGAAGGAGAGGUAAGGCCUGGAGGCCCCAGGCAUCCCUGAAGGUGUCACCCCCGCACCACAUCCCCAGUAGCAUGUCCGGCCCGCUUUGCUUUCCAAAAAGCUCUUGGAAAGUCAGCCCUGCUCCUGCCUGUGGGCCGUCCCGCAGCCUCCUCUGCUGGGGUUUAAUUUGGGCGGACUGAAGGCAGCCUGGUGGCUGUCAGGCGAGGCAGACUCCCGAGGGAGUUUGUGGGGAUGCAGAACUCUCCCUUCCUCAGCCUUCCCUGUGUCGCUCCCUCCCGCUAUUCACAAAGCCGGGAGGAGCCUGCAGCGCGUGGAGAAUCGCAGUGUUGAAUAAAAACCUCUGAUUUAUUUUAACUCGCAUCCGAGGAGGCUAAAUCUUGUGUUGGUAACGCCGGCGCGAGGCUCGUUUUCCUUGCGCCACCCCGUUAUCACUGAAGUCUGUCCCUUUCCAGGGCGGUUUUGCGACGCCGGUGCAGGCCUGCUCCAAUUGCGGCUCCCACGUGGAGGGACAGAGCUUGGGAAUUAGCCAGGGACGACUCAUUAACCUCCUUUUGGAUUCUUCUAGCAGAUACAUAGUGGGUUUUAAACCGAAAUGUAAUGUUUGUCUUAUCCCGACAUCUUAAAGAAGCUUCAUUUAAAAAGGAGAUCUGAAUUUUGCCCCCACUGGUGGUCGUUCUUCUCAGCACUCAAAGAAGCUAAAAAUUAUCAAUGGGCAAUUGAUUUGUACUUGCUUCUUUAUUUAAUUUGAGGGGGCUGUUCCAGAGGAGCCCCUCUCCCAGCAUUGAGCUGGACGUGUGCAAUUUUUACUUUCUUUAAACCUUAAACGUUCAGGUGUAGCUUUACUUAGCUUCUGAGCAUGGAGGCAGUCAAAGGGCGUCCACAGUGACAUCCCCAUCUCCUUUGGUAGAGAAAACAUCGAAAUUUCCUGGGUUGGCUCUGCAGAGGCUGAGGUCUGACGUUGACUGAGCAGUGUAGUCGUGUUUUGUAGAGCUAUGGCAAGGUUUUUGUAACUAUAUACUCUCUGUGAGCCUCAGCAUUAAUCUGGCAUCUGCUUUGUGUAGGCGUUUGGUUUUAGCUGGGAUACAUCUUUGUAGUUCGGGCGUUUGUGCAGCUGGAUGUGCCUUCUUUAUGUUGCAUAUGGAGUUGCUGUGGUUAGGUUUAUUCAGCGUUGGCAGGUUGGGCAUCGUUUAAAGAUAAUGAUUCCUUGCUGAAAUCUGUACCUCAAGGGCUUUAGGAUAAAUUAAGUGAUUUCUUAUGGGAAGCAGAACGCUGCAGGGACUCUAGAGGCUUAGUGCAGCUAAUGAAGGUGAUGAGAGACCAUGCUGUGACAGGAGAAUGGGGCAGCCGAGCCAAGAACCCGCGGAGCUUGAUGUUUAUGCUCUCUCAGGCUCCCUGCAGUCUGAAUAGCUGGAAAGUUCCUGACAUCUCGAAGAGGCAGACUGCAGCGACGCUUCUUAUCUUAAACUGGAUGGCUUCUACGCUCAGCCUGGGUAAAGAAACAUUGUUGGAAGAUGGAAUGCCACCUGCAAAAAAGCCCAGGAAGCUCUUGCCAAGCCUCAAAACCAAGAAGCCUCGGGAACUGGUUUUGGUGAUUGGGACAGGAAUCAGUGCAGCAGUUGCUCCCCAGGUCCCGGCGCUGAAGUCUUGGAAAGGGUUAAUCCAGGCCCUAUUGGAUGCUGCUAUUGACUUUGAUCUCCUGGAAGAUGAAGAGAGCAAACGGUUUCAAAAGUGUCUCCACGAAGACAAGAACUUGGUUCAUGUUGCCCACGACCUCAUCCAGAAGCUGUCUCCGCGCACAAGCAACGUUCGCUCAACCUUUUUCAAAGACUGUUUAUACGAGGUGUUUGAUGACCUGGAAUCUAAAAUGGAAGAUUCUGGGAAGCAGCUGCUUCAGUCUGUGCUUCACUUGAUGGAAAACGGGGCACUGGUGUUAACCACAAACUUCGAUAACCUGCUGGAACUGUACGCAGCACACCAGGGGAAGCACCUGGAGUCUCUUGACCUGACUGAUGAAAAGAAGGUGCUGGAGUGGGCACAGGAGAAGAGGAAGCUGAGCGUCCUGCACAUCCACGGCGUGUACACCAACCCCAGCGGCAUCGUGCUCCACCCGGCCGGCUACCAGAACGUGCUGCGCAACACGGAGGUCAUGCGGGAGAUUCAGAAGCUGUAUGAAAAUAAGUCAUUCCUGUUCUUGGGCUGUGGUUGGACUGUUGAUGACACCACGUUUCAGGCCCUGUUUUUAGAGGCUGUGAAGCACAAGUCAGACCUGGAGCACUUCAUGCUCGUACGGAGGGGAGACGUGGAUGAAUUUAAGAAGCUCCGCGAGAACAUGCUGGACAAAGGGAUUAAAGUGAUUUCCUACGGAGAUGAAUACGCUGACCUGCCCGAGUACUUCGAGAGGCUGACGAGCGAGAUCGCCACGCGGGGUCGAGCAGGUACGGGGGUUGUGGGCUGUGCAGGGAUCCUGUCACACACAACACGGUUCCUGACUGUCACCCUGGCCUUUGGAGUGUGGGCAGCAUUAACAGCCCCUGUUCUCUAUGCUGUGUUAUUCCUUAAGCUUUUCUUUUUUGUUGCCCCAGAAAAAUUGUCUGCAAGCGUAGCUGAAUUUGGGGUUUACUUUUACGAAACCACUGUCUGUUCUUAUAGUUUAAACAGCUUUGCUGCUUCCCACACGCUAUCUGGCAGCUGCAGUUGGUUGUUCCCUUUCAAAUGAAAGGGUACUCCAGUCUCGCUGAUUUUCAUGCUGUAACACACAAGAGAACUUGCUAAUAAAUCAUACAAAUGGGGAAAAGAAGCGAGUUGGGUCGCCGGAGCCUCGCUGGGAUGCGUUUGGAGGGUAAAAUCCAGCCUGGAAAACCUGUCCCUGCAGGGCUGCCCUUCCAGCCGCUCCUUGCUCUCUCCCAGGUGUGCCCAAGGAGGGACAACAGCUCAAUGGCUCCGCUGCCAACAUGAAAGGAUGCAGCAGCUGAGUCCCAGCCCGGCCCCAGGACGGACUGAAGCCAGAGCCCAGCAGCUCCC